rnacentral:tRNA from 1 species
GGGAGUGGAUAGCGGUCUGGUGACGCUCCUGGACUUCAAAUCCAGUGUGGGGCGCUAAUACCGUCCUGGGUGGGUUCGAUUCCUACGCACUCCCGCCA